UAGGGAAUCUUCGGCAAUGGACGAAAGUCUGACCGAGCAACGCCGCGUGAGUGAAGAAGGGUUUCGGCUCGUAAAGCUCUGUUGUUAAAGAAGAACACGUAUGAGAGUAACUGUUCAUACGUUGACGGUAUUUAACCAGAAAGUCACGGCUAACUACGUGGCAG
rnacentral:rRNA from 1 species